rnacentral:tRNA from 4 species
GCCCGGGUGGUGAAACUGGUAGACGCAGGGGACUCAAAAUCCCCCGCCGCGAGGCGUGUCGGUUCGAGUCCGACCCCGGGCACCA